rnacentral:rRNA from 1 species
ACCUGGUUGAUCCUGGCAGUAGUCAUACCCUUGUCUCAAAGGUUAAGCCAUGGAUGUCUAAGUAUAAACAAUCAUACUUGUGAAACUGGGAAUGGGUCAUUACAUCAGUUAUAGUUUAUUUGAUAGUACCUUACUACUUGGAUAACCGUAGUAAUUCUAGAGCUAAUACAUGCAUCAACUCCCAACUGCCUGUGCGGAAGGGAUGUUUUAUUAGAUUGAAACCAAUGCAGGGGCAACCCUGGUGUUGUGGUGAAUCAUAAUAACUGUGCGAAUCGCAUGGCCCUGGUGCCGGCGAUGAAUCAUUCAAGUUUCUGCCCUAUCAGCUUUCGAUGGUAGGGUAUUGGCCUACCAUGGCGUUAACGGGUAACGGGGAAUUAGGGUUCGAUUCCGGAGAGGGAGCCUGAGAAACGGCUACCACAUCCAAGGAAGGCAGCAGGCGCGUAAAUUACCCAAUCCUGAUACAGGGAGGUAGUGACAAUAAAUAACAAUGCUGGGCUUUUUCAAGUCUGGCAAUUGGAAUGAGAACAAUUUAAAUCCCUUAACGAGGAUCAAUUGGAGGGCAAGUCUGGUGCCAGCAGCCGCGGUAAUUCCACCUCCAAUAGCGUAUAUUAAAGUUGUUGCAGUUAAAAAGCUCGUAGUUGGAUUUCUGGUGGGAGUGACGGUCCGUCCUGUUGGAUGUGUACUAGUGUCGUCUCUGUCCAUCCUUGGGGAGAGCGCGCCUGGCAUUAGGUUGUCGGGUGUGGGAUCCCCAUCCUUUACUGUGAAAAAAUUAGAGUGUUUAAAGCAGGCUUAUGCCGUUGAAUACAUUAGCAUGGAAUAAUAAGAUAGGACCUUGGUGGUCUAUUUUGUUGGUUUGCACGCCAAGGUAAUGAUUAAUAGGGAGUUGGGGUAUCCGUAUUUCGUAGUCAGAGGUGAAAUUCUUGGAUUUACGAAAGACGAACUACUGCGAAAGCAUUUACCAAGGAUGUUUUCAUUAAUCAAGAACGAAAGUUAGGGGAUCGAAGAUGAUUAGAUACCAUUGUAGUCUUAACCAUAAACUAUCCCGACUAGGGAUUGGCGGUCGUUAACUACACGACUCCGUCAGCCCCUUAUGAGAAAUCAAAGUCUUUGGGUUCCGGGGGGAGUAUGGUCGCAAGGCUGAAACUUAAA